AGUGAACGCUGGCGGUAGGCCUAACACAUGCAAGUCGAACGGCAGCACAGGAGAGCUUGCUCUCUGGGUGGCGAGUGGCGGACGGGUGAGGAAUACAUCGGAAUCUACCUUUUCGUGGGGGAUAACGUAGGGAAACUUACGCUAAUACCGCAUACGACCUACGGGUGAAAGUGGGGGACCGCAAGGCCUCACGCGAUUAGAUGAGCCGAUGUCCGAUUAGCUAGUUGGCGGGGUAAUGGCCCACCAAGGCGACGAUCGGUAGCUGGUCUGAGAGGAUGAUCAGCCGCACUGGAACUGAGACACGGUCCAGACUCCUACGGGAGGCAGCAGUGGGGAAUAUUGGACAAUGGGCGCAAGCCUGAUUCAGCCAUACCGCGUGGGUGAAGAAGGCCUUCGGGUUGUAAAGCCCUUUUGUUGGGAAAGAAAUCCUAUCGGUUAAUAACCGGUGGGGAUGACGGUACCCAAAGAAUAAGCACCGGCUAACUUCGUGCCAGCCGCCGCCGUAAGAC
rnacentral:rRNA from 1 species